rnacentral:rRNA from 1 species
GCAUAUCAAUAAGCGGAGGAAAAGAAACCAACAGGGAUUGCCCCAGUAACGGCGAGUGAAGCGGCARCAGCUCAAAUUUGAAAUCUGGCCCCUAGGGCCCGAGUUGUAAUUUGCAGAGGAUGCUUUUGGCGAGGUGCCUUCCGAGUUCCCUGGAACGGGACGCCAUAGAGGGUGAGAGCCCCGUCUGGUUGGAUGCCGAGCCUCUGUAAAGCUCCUUCGACGAGUCGAGUAGUUUGGGAAUGCUGCUCUAAAUGGGAGGUAUAUGUCUUCUAAAGCUAAAUACCGGCCAGAGACCGAUAGCGCACAAGUAGAGUGAUCGAAAGAUGAAAAGCACUUUGAAAAGAGGGUUAAAUAGUACGUGAAAUUGUUGAAAGGGAAGCACUUAUGACCAGACUUGGACCCGGUGAAUCAUCCAGCGUUCUCGCUGGUGCACUUUGCCGGGCUCAGGCCAGCAUCAGUUUGCCUCGGGGGAUAAAGGCUUUGGGAAUGUGGCUCCCUCGGGAGUGUUAUAGCCCAUUGCACAAUACCCUGGGGCGGACUGAGGUUCGCGCAUCUGCAAGGAUGCUGGCGUAAUGGUCAUCAGUGACCCGUCUUGAAACACGGACCAAGGAGUCGUCUUCGUAUGCGAGUGUUCGGGUGUAAAACCCCUACGCGUAAUGAAAGUGAACGCAGGUGAGAGCUUCGGCGCAUCAUCGACCGAUCCUGAUGUUCUCGGAUGGAUUUGAGUAAGAGCAUACGGGGCCGGACCCGAAAGAAGGUGAACUAUGCCUGUAUAGGGUGAAGCCAGAGGAAACUCUGGUGGAGGCUCGCAGCGGUUCUGACGUGCAAAAUCGAUCGUCAAAUAUGGGCAUGGGGGCGAAAGACUAAUCGAACCUUCUAGUAGCUGGUUUCCGCCGAAG